GUGGGGAAUAUUGGACAAUGGGCGAAAGCCUGAUCCAGCCAUGCCGCGUGUGUGAAGAAGGUCUUCGGAUUGUAAAGCACUUUAAGUUGGGAGGAAGGGCAGUAAGUUAAUACCUUGCUGUUUUGACGUUACCGACAGAAUAAGCACCGGCUAACUUCGUGCCAGCAGCCGCGGUAAUACGAAGGGUGCAAGCGUUAAUCGGAAUUACUGGGCGUAAAGCGCGCGUAGGUGGUUUUGUAAGUUGGAGGUGAAAUCCCCGGGCUCAACCUGGGAACUGCCUCCAAAACUGCAUGACUAGAGUACGGUAGAGGGGAGUGGAAUUUCCUGUGUAGCAGUGAAAUGCGUAGAUAUAGGAAGGAACACCAGUGGCGAAGGCGACUACCUGGACUGAUACUGACACUGAGGUGCGAAAGCGUGGGGAGCAAACAGGAUUAGAAACCCGAGUAGUCC
rnacentral:rRNA from 1 species